rnacentral:tRNA from 1 species
AGCCCGGUCGUCUAGCGGCCAAGGAUCUGGGGCUCUGGCCCCCAGGACGCCGGUUCGAAUCCGGCCCGGGCUA